rnacentral:rRNA from 1 species
CUCAUAGCGUAUAUUAAGUUGUUGCAGUUAGAACGCUCGUAGUCGGAUUUCGGGGCAGUCCGACCGGUCUGCCGAUGGGUAUGUACUGGCCGGAGUGUCCUUUUUGCCGGAGACCGUGCCUACUCUUAACUGAGCGGGGGCGGGAGACGGCACUUUUACUUUGAAAAAAUCAGAGUGUUUCAAGCAGGCAGCUCGCUCUUGCAUGGAUUAGCAUGGGAUAAUGAAAUAGGACUUUGGUGCUAUUUUGUUGGUUUCGAACACCGAAGUAAUGAUGAGAAGGGACAGUCAGGGGCACUCGUAUUCCGCAGAGAGAGGUGAAAUUCUCAGACCCGCGGAAGACGAACCACUGCGAAAGCAUUUGCCAGGGAUGUUUUCACUGAUCAAGAACGAAAGUUAGGGGAUCGAAGAUGAUCAGAUACCGUCGUAGUCUUAACCAUAAACCAUGCCGACUAGGGAUUGGAGGAUGUUCACUGAUUGACUCCUUCAGCACCUUACGGGAAACUAAAGUCUUUGGGUUCCGGGGGGAGUAUGGUCGCAAGGCUGAAACUUAAAGGAAUUGACGGAAGGGCACCACCAGGUGUGGAGCCUGCGGCUUAAUUUGACUCAACACGGGGAAACUUACCAGGUCCAGACAUUGUGAGGAUUGACAGAUUGAGAGCUCUUUCUUGAUUCGAUGGGUGGUGGUGCAUGGCCGUUCUUAGUUGGUG